GGUUAAGCGACUAAGCGUACACGGUGGAUGCCCUGGCAGUCAGAGGCGAUGAAGGACGUGCUAAUCUGCGAUAAGCGUCGGUAAGGUGAUAUGAACCGUUAUAACCGGCGAUUUCCGAAUGGGGAAACCCAGUGUGAUUCGUCACACUAUCAUUAACUGAAUCCAUAGGUUAAUGAGGCGAACCGGGGGAACUGAAACAUCUAAGUACCCCGAGGAAAAGAAAUCAACCGAGAUUCCCCCAGUAGCGGCGAGCGAACGGGGAGCAGCCCAGAGCCUGAAUCAGUGUGUGUGUUAGUGGAAGCGUCUGGAAAGGCGUGCGAUACAGGGUGACAGCCCCGUACACAAAAAUGCACAUACUGUGAGCUCGAUGAGUAGGGCGGGACACGUGGUAUCCUGUCUGAAUAUGGGGGGACCAUCCUCCAAGGCUAAAUACUCCUGACUGACCGAUAGUGAACCAGUACCGUGAGGGAAAGGCGAAAAGAACCCCGGCGAGGGGAGUGAAAAAGAACCUGAAACCGUGUACGUACAAGCAGUGGGAGCACGCUUAGGCGUGUGACUGCGUACCUUUUGUAUAAUGGGUCAGCGACUUAUAUUCUGUAGCAAGGUUAACCGAAUAGGGGAGCCGAAGGGAAACCGAGUCUUAACUGGGCGUUAAGUUGCAGGGUAUAGACCCGAAACCCGGUGAUCUAGCCAUGGGCAGGUUGAAGGUUGGGUAACACUAACUGGAGGACCGAACCGACUAAUGUUGAAAAAUUAGCGGAUGACUUGUGGCUGGGGGUGAAAGGCCAAUCAAACCGGGAGAUAGCUGGUUCUCCCCGAAAGCUAUUUAGGUAGCGCCUCGUGAAUUCAUCUCCGGGGGUAGAGCACUGUUUCGGCAAGGGGGUCAUCCCGACUUACCAACCCGAUGCAAACUGCGAAUACCGGAGAAUGUUAUCACGGGAGACACACGGCGGGUGCUAACGUCCGUCGUGAAGAGGGAAACAACCCAGACCGCCAGCUAAGGUCCCAAAGUCAUGGUUAAGUGGGAAACGAUGUGGGAAGGCCCAGACAGCCAGGAUGUUGGCUUAGAAGCAGCCAUCAUUUAAAGAAAGCGUAAUAGCUCACUGGUCGAGUCGGCCUGCGCGGAAGAUGUAACGGGGCUAAACCAUGCACCGAAGCUGCGGCAGCGACGCUGAUGCGUUGUUGGGUAGGGGAGCGUUCUGUAAGCCUGUGAAGGUGUACUGUGAGGUAUGCUGGAGGUAUCAGAAGUGCGAAUGCUGACAUAAGUAACGAUAAAGCGGGUGAAAAGCCCGCUCGCCGGAAGACCAAGGGUUCCUGUCCAACGUUAAUCGGGGCAGGGUGAGUCGACCCCUAAGGCGAGGCCGAAAGGCGUAGUCGAUGGGAAACAGGUUAAUAUUCCUGUACUUGGUGUUACUGCGAAGGGGGGACGGAGAAGGCUAUGUUGGCCGGGCGACGGUUGUCCCGGUUUAAGCGUGUAGGCUGGUUUUCCAGGCAAAUCCGGAAAAUCAAGGCUGAGGCGUGAUGACGAGGCACUACGGUGCUGAAGCAACAAAUGCCCUGCUUCCAGGAAAAGCCUCUAAGCAUCAGGUAACAUCAAAUCGUACCCCAAACCGACACAGGUGGUCAGGUAGAGAAUACCAAGGCGCUUGAGAGAACUCGGGUGAAGGAACUAGGCAAAAUGGUGCCGUAACUUCGGGAGAAGGCACGCUGAUAUGUAGGUGAAGUCCCUCGCGGAUGGAGCUGAAAUCAGUCGAAGAUACCAGCUGGCUGCAACUGUUUAUUAAAAACACAGCACUGUGCAAACACGAAAGUGGACGUAUACGGUGUGACGCCUGCCCGGUGCCGGAAGGUUAAUUGAUGGGGUUAGCGCAAGCGAAGCUCUUGAUCGAAGCCCCGGUAAACGGCGGCCGUAACUAUAACGGUCCUAAGGUAGCGAAAUUCCUUGUCGGGUAAGUUCCGACCUGCACGAAUGGCGUAAUGAUGGCCAGGCUGUCUCCACCCGAGACUCAGUGAAAUUGAACUCGCUGUGAAGAUGCAGUGUACCCGCGGCAAGACGGAAAGACCCCGUGAACCUUUACUAUAGCUUGACACUGAACAUUGAGCCUUGAUGUGUAGGAUAGGUGGGAGGCUU
rnacentral:rRNA from 1 species